ACCUACGGGACGCAGCAGUGGGGAAUAUUGCACAAUGGGGGGAACCCUGAUGCAGCGACGCCGCGUGGGUGAAGGAGUGCUUCGGCAUGUAAAGCCCUAUCGGCAGGGAAGAAGCAAGACGGUACCUGACUAAGAAGCCCCGGCUAACUACGUGCCAGCAGCCGCGGGAAUACGUAGGGGGCGAGCGUUAUCCGGAUUCUCUGGGUGUAAAGGGAGCGUAGACUGCCAAGCAAGACAGGGGUGAAAGCCCGGGGC
rnacentral:rRNA from 1 species